rnacentral:rRNA from 1 species
GCCCAUGAACAAAAGUGCACCUCUUUUUCCAAUUGGUUAAGGGUCUUGGGAUAGUUAGAGUUAAGCGUCCUUGGGUUUGAAUAGUACUGGGUUGGGUGACCUCUCGGGAAGUCCAAAUUCAUGAGCU